ensembl:rRNA 5S_rRNA 5S ribosomal RNA
GUUUAAGAGCCAUCUUUCACCCUGAACAAGCCCGAUCACGUCUGAUCUCGGAAGCUAAGCAGGGUCGGGCCUGGUUAGAACUUGGAUGGGAGACCACCUAGGAAGACCAAGUGCUGUAGGCA